CUAUGCGCCUUGCCAGCCCGCUCAGUCAGAGUUUGAUCCUGGCUCAGGAUGAACGCUGGCGGCGUGCCUAACACAUGCAAGUCGAACGAAGCGCUUUUGUGGAUCCCCUUCGGGGGUGAAGCAAAAGUGACUUAGUGGCGGACGGGUGAGUAACGCGUGGGUAACCUGCCUCAUACAGGGGGAUAACAGCUGGAAACGGCUGCUAACACCGCAUAAGCAUACGCUGUCGCAUGACAGAGUGUGAAAAUAUUUAUAGGUAUGAGAUGGGCCCGCGUCUGAUUAGCUAGUUGGUGGUAAGCCUACCAAGGCGACGAUCAGUAGCCGGCUUGAGAGAGUGACCGGCCACAUUGGGACUGAGACACGGCCCAA
rnacentral:rRNA from 1 species